rnacentral:rRNA from 1 species
UCUUUCAACAACUUNGAAGGUCACACCCGUUCCCAUCCCGAACACGGUAGUUAAGCUUCUCUGCGCCAAUGGUAGUUGGGGGCUUCCCCCUGCGAGAGUAGGUCGCUGCCGGGC